GACGUAGGGCGCGAGCGUUGUCCGGAUUUAUUGGGCGUAAAGAGCUCGUAGGCGGCUUGUCGCGUCGAAUGUGAAAACUGGAGGCUCAACCUCCAGCCUGCAGUGGGUACGGGCAGACUAGAGGUGAUGUAGGGGAGACUGGAAUUCCUGGAUGUAGCGGUGAAAUGCGCAGAUAUCAGGAGGAACACCCGAUGGCGAAGGCAGGUCUCUGGGCAUUAACUGACGCUGAGGAGCGGAAAGCAUGGGGAGCGAACAGG
rnacentral:rRNA from 1 species